GACGAACGCUGGCGGCGUGCUUAACACAUGCAAGUCGAGCGGUAAGGCCCUUUCGGGGGUACACGAGCGGCGAACGGGUGAGUAACACGUGGGUGACCUGCCCUCAGCUCUGGGAUAAGCCUGGGAAACCGGGUCUAAUACUGGAUAUGACUCCAUGACGCAUGUUGUGGGGUGGAAAGCCUUGUGCGGCUGAGGAUGGGCCCGCGGCCUAUCAGCUUGUUGGUGGGGUGAUGGCCUACCAAGGCGACGACGGGUAGCCGGCCUGAGGA
rnacentral:rRNA from 1 species